rnacentral:rRNA from 1 species
UGGGGAAUAUUGGACAAUGGGCGAAAGCCUGAUCCAGCCAUGCCGCGUGUGUGAAGAAGGUCUUCGGAUUGUAAAGCACUUUAAGUUGGGAGGAAGGGCAUUAACCUAAUACGUCAGUGUUUUGACGUUACCGACAGAAUAAGCACCGGCUAACUCUGUGCCAGCAGCCGCGGUAAUACAGAGGGUGCAAGCGUUAAUCGGAAUUACUGGGCGUAAAGCGCGCGUAGGUGGUUUGUUAAGUUGGAUGUGAAAUCCCCGGGCUCAACCUGGGAACUGCAUUCAAAACUGACUGACUAGAGUAUGGUAGAGGGUGGUGGAAUUUCCUGUGUAGCGGUGAAAUGCGUAGAUAUAGGAAGGAACACCAGUGGCGAAGGCGACCACCUGGACUAAUACUGACACUGAGGUGCGAAAGCGUGGGGAGCAAACA